rnacentral:lncRNA from 1 species
GAAGGUGAAGCCCCCGACGUCAUCUCAGUUCUUUUUAUAUCUUAUUUUGAUUUGUUGAUUGUUAUGUUACAAUACUGAACACAACAAAUUUAGGAAGCUAUUGAAAAAGCCCAGGAGAAAAUCGUUGUGAAAUGCUCUAUUUUAAUGUUUUAAUUUUUCUCCAGUAUUGCUCUGUACCGUCAUGAAUCUGUAAAUCUGUGAAUUGCUUUAUGAAUCUGUAAGUCUGUGAAUAGCUCUAUGAAUUGUAUCUGUGAAUUGCUCUAUGAAUUGUCUCUGUGAAUUACUUUCAGACUCAAGUAUUGUUCAAGGAAAUAGAUUCAUUGACAUUGUUUAUCAAUCCAGUAACAUUUGGUUAUAAUGAAAAAAUGAGUGGUAUACCAAGUGCAAAGUCUUAUUAAAAUGUGGAAGGCUGAAAAGGGUUCUAUUUUACCAUGUUACGUUCUGUUUUAUUGCAAAUGAGGGUCUAUAUGUUCCUGUCUUGUUAUAUAAGGAGCAUCUUGAUGCAUCAGAGCACAUGAGAACUAGAUGCUUUUCUUGAUCCUAGAAAAUUCUGAAAAAGACAGGAGUGUAUUCUUCAAGGUUUUCUGUAGCCAAUGUUAAGAGCCCAAAUGGUCCUACUCCUCCUCGUCGAUCCCGUUUGACUGCGAAGCUUUUGAGCAUCAUAUGGACCCCAACUUGUCCAAGCUUUCGAAGGUGAAGAUUACUUCAACAUCAGCCUGUGCAGCUGUAAAAAAAAAUUUGAUUUCAAUUCCCUCUCCCUUCUCGAGUUUCUUAUCUCUCAUUUCUACCUUAUUCCUCUUAGAGCUUGUAAGGGGCCAUUGUGGCAAUUGCUUGCCAUUCGGAUCAAGCACAAUAGUUCUUGGAAUAAGCUGAAUUCCAGCCCAACCCUUUCUCAUAUCAUCAAUACAGCACCAGACUCAUUUGCCCAUCCCUACAAGAUCCUGAUUCUGCUUUCUUGCGCUCUAACCCUCUUGUUCUAACUAUUUGAUUGUUGAUCUGUACUCCUAAGUAUUUGCCUCGCUUACCUUGGAUGACUGUAAUAACUGAUAUACUUGUUGGUUGGUUGAUUCACUUCCCUACUUUUAUUGUGUGCUAAUAAUUUCAAAAAAUUUAGUAGUAGAUUUUUUUUAUGAUGUGAUAAUGAAGCGUAUUCUGAUGAUGGCGGAAAAACUUGAUCAACUUGGUAGCAAAUUUUCUUGAGGAUAUAUUCCUAUUCACUAUGUCUCAUACUUACUGUUUCGUGAGAAAGUUUGUAGUUCAUAAUUUUCUAUCCGCGUUGUUAGGAUGUUUGAGUUAGGGGGAGUAUGAUCUAUUUAUGGUGAGAGGACUGAUUAAGGGAGAAUAGUUCUUAUUCAUAAUUUGAUCAAUAGUUAACACACACUUACAAACAUGACAUUAAAAAUUCAAGAUUUUUUUUUGAAAUUAAGCUAAUCCAAAAGAGGGAUAUUGCUGAGAAAAUAUGUUCCAUAAUUGUACAAAUUUAUUUAUCGACUUACUUAAUUUAUGGUCUGAUUUUUAAAUGCCUAAGAAACUAACAAAAACCUGAAAAGACUAGAGAUUCUAUAAGUAUCCAAUACUGAGGUUGAUAAGUAUAUUCAAAAAAUUUGUAAGGCUACGGCUUUUAGAGUUUUCAUAUUUAAAACAGGAAACGAUUUUUCUGUUAACAUAAUGCAGCUUGUAUUUGAUUGGAAACUUCUCAUCAUAGAUAUUCUCUGAUAAGUUAGUUAAUGGACACUUGAAAACCUACUUCUACUUUGGUUAAUUAAUCAAACGCUUACAUGUUAAUUAAUUAAUUUAAGGGAUGAAGGACGUUUCUACUUCAAGUAGAGUUAUCCUAUCCUAGUUGCUGAGUCGCAUUAGUUAAUUUUAGUCUAUCGUAACAAAUUCCAACUUGAUAUAUUAUCCUGUUAGAGAAAGGAGUGGAAGUGGUAGUUUUUCUUUAAAAAUUGAGUAAUAAAUAGAGUAGUUAUACCCUUGGAUCUAAGUAUUCUUAUUUUCCACUUUUUGAAGUAUUUCGUUAAAUCUCUACUUAUGUAUCUAUCAUAAGCCCCUGUUUGGAGCAGCUUUUCCACAAAAAAAAGGAGCAAUAUAAUUCAGCACCAGAAUUGAUAAAGAGUAUGGAUGGCCUCAACAAAAGAGUAAAAGUGUUGAGCAAGAAAAUGUAAGUGCGAAACUAUCGUUACUGAUUGAUAUUCUAUAUUUCAUAUUCUUUUCUAUAUUCAAAUUAUCAAAUUGUACUUUCAUAUGAAUUUUACAGCAUAGUGAUAGAAGCUCGAAUGAUUUAGAUAAUCGUCAGAGUAAGAAAUGCAAAUUGUUACGUUUGUUUGGGGAAGCCAAUGUAGUUGCUAAUGGUGAAAUCGCAUCAACAAAUCCUUGUGAUGUAGUACAUCAUGUACCCUUGGCGAUGAAUGUUGGAGAGUUUGGGUUAAUGAAGUUAUUGACAAUGUUACCUUAUAUCGUCCCACAUGUGGGCUAUUUCUUCUUGAAGAUGCAUUAGGAAGUACAAUUGCAUGGCCAAUCAGGUUCAUCAAAAUGGAUUAACUAUAAGCACAACAAACGUAUGCUUUACUUUGUUUUUUUAUAUCAUUUGUCAUUUGCGUACUCACUUUAAUUUAUUAACUAUACAUUCAUUUAUUUUUGUGAUGUGCAG